CCUACGGGGGGCUGCAGUAGGGAAUCUUUCACAAUGGGCGAAAGCCUGAUGGAGCAACGCCGCGUGCAGGCUGAAGGCCUUCGGGUUGUAAACUGCUUUUAUAAGCGAGCAAUAUGAUGGUAACUUAUGAAUAAGGAUCGGCUAACUACGUGCCAGCAGCCGCGGUCAUACGUAGGAUCCGAGCAUUAUCCGGAGUGACUGGGUGUAAAGAGUUGCGUAGGUGGCAUAAUAAGUAGCUAGUGAAAUCUGGUGGCUCAACCAUUUAGACUAUUAGCGAAACUGUUAAGCUCGAGACCGUUAGGGGUAACUGGAAUUUCUAGUGUAGGAGUGAAAUCCGUAGAUAUUAGAAGGAACACCAAUAGCGUAGGCAGGUUGCUGGGACGGUUCUGACACUAAGGCACGAAAGCGUAGGGAGCAAACGGGAUUAGAUACCCGGGUAGUC
rnacentral:rRNA from 1 species